rnacentral:rRNA from 1 species
GACAGGGGAUGCAAGCGUUAUCCGGAAUGAUUGGGCGUAAAGCGUCUGUAGGUGGCUUUUUAAGUCUGCCGUCAAAUCCCAGGGCUCAACCCUGGACAGGCGGUGGAAACUACCAAGCUGGAGUACGGUAGGGGCAGAGGGAAUUUCCAGUGGAGCGGUGAAAUGCGUAGAUAUUGGAAAGAACACCAACAGCGAAGGCACCUUACUGGGCCAGUACUGACACUCAGAGACGAAAGCUAGGGGAGCAAACGGG